UCUUGCAUGGUUUCGCACUGGUGCUAAGCAGGGUUGAGUCUGGCCAGUACCUGGAUGGGAGAUCUCCUGGGGAAAACUAAGGUUGCUGUAGGAA
rnacentral:rRNA from 1 species